UCCAGAGGUCUCAAGCGUUGUUCGGAUUCAUUGGGCGUAACGGGUGCGUAGGCGGCGCGGUAAGUCGGGUGUGAAAUCUCGGAGCUUAACUCCGAAACUGCAUUCGAUACUGCCGUGCUUGAGGACUGGAGAGGAGACUGGAAUUUACGGUGUAGCGGUGAAAUGCGUAGAUAUCGUAAGGAAGACCAGUGGCGAAGGCGGGUCUCUGGACAGUUCCUGACACUGAGGCACGAAGGCCAGGGGAGCAAACGGG
rnacentral:rRNA from 1 species